rnacentral:lncRNA from 1 species
UUGUAGAAGGUGGGGUUUCAGAGGAUGUGUAUAUAGGUGGUGUUGGGAGAGGAUUAGAAGAAGCCAUAAGAUGUUCAGAGGGAAUAGAGGGAGCAGACUUACCAGUAGUUACUUGCAGAGGUGCUGGAGAUCUGGUUCCAGAAGUUUCUCCUAGCCUUGCUUUCUUGGCCUUUGAAGACUUCUUUUCAGAGGGACCUCUUUUGAACCUGACAAAGUCUUCUUCUGAAUCUAGACAAUCGUCCAGUCUGAAGUCAGAGAUGUCG